rnacentral:rRNA from 1 species
AACGAACGCUGGCGGCGCGCCUAAUACAUGCAAGUCGAGCGAGAAGACGUAGCAAUACGUUUGUAAAGCGGCGAACGGGUGAGGAAUACAUGGGUAACCUACCCUCGAGUGGGGAAUAACUAGCCGAAAGGUUAGCUAAUACCGCGUACGCUCCUUGGACUUCGGUUCAGGGAGGAAAGCGAUACCGUGGGUAUCGCGCUCUUGGAUGGGCUCAUGUCCUAUCAGCUUGUUGGUGAGGUAACGGCUCACCAAGGCUUCGACGGGUAGCUGGUCUGAGAGGACGAUCAGCCACACUGGCACUGCGACACGGGCCAGGACUCCUACGGGAGGCAGCAGUAAGGAAUAUUGCGCAAUGGGCGAAAGCCUGACGCAGCGACGCCGC